rnacentral:rRNA from 1 species
UGGGCCGCACGCGCGCUACACUGAUACGUUCAGCGAGUUUCACCCUGGUCCGGAAGGAUCUCGGGUAAUCUUUAUAGUACGUAUCGUGNUAGGGAUCGAUCUUUGNAAUUAUAGAUCUUGAACGAGGAAUACCUAGUAAGCGCAU